UGGGGACGCUCUGCUUCAGCUGUGGGGACACAGAAGGCAGGACCCCGUUACCAUGUCCACCAUGGCCUGGUCCCCUCUGCUCCUCACCCUGGUCGCUCACUGCACAGGAUCCUGGGCCCAGGCUGUGCUGACUCAGCCGCGCUCUGCGUCUGGGGCCCUGGGCCAGAGGGUCACCAUCUCUUGCACUGGAAGCAGCAGCAACAUCGGGAGCAAUUAUGUGAGCUGGUACCAGCAGGUCCCAGGAACGGCCCCCAGACUCCUGAUCUAUGACAAUAGCAAACGACCCUCGGGGGUCCUGGAUCGCUUCUCUGGCUCCAAGUCUGGCAACUCGGGCUCCCUGACCAUCACUGGGCUCCAGGCUGAGGACGAGGCUGAUUAUUACUGCCAGUCUUAUGAUGACAGCCUGGAUGGUCACACAGUGUGCAAGGCAGGGGGGAAGUGA